GAUGAACGCUGGCGGCGUGCCUAAUACAUGCAAGUCGAGCGAACAGACGAUGAGCUUGCUCCUCUGACGUUAGCGGCGGACGGGUGAGUAACACGUGGAUCACCUACCUAUAAGACUGGGAUAACUUCGGGAAACCGGAGCUAAUACCGGAUAAUAUAUUGAACCGCAUGGUUCAAUAGUGAAUGACGGUUUUGCUGUCACUUAUAGAUGGAUCCGCGCCGCAUUAGCUAGUUGGUAAGGUAACGGCUUACCAAGGCAACGAUGCGUAGCCGACCUGAGAGGGUGAUCGGCCACACUGGAACUGAGACACGGUCCAGACUCCUACGGGAGGCAGCAGUAGGGAAUCUUCCGCAAAGGGCGAAAGCCUGACGGAGCAACGCCGCGUGAGUGAUGAAGGUCUUCGGAUCGUAAAACUCUGUUAUUAGGGAAGAACAAAUGUGUAAGUAACUAUGCACGUCUUGACGGUACCUAAUCAGAAAGCCACGGCUAACUACGUG
rnacentral:rRNA from 1 species